GGAUACUUAUUAUAGAAUGCUGGUUGUUAUGGUGAUGAGAGAUGGGGGAAACCAGGCCGAUUGUACACUGUGAAUGAAGGUUUAAUCUAUGUCAUCCUUUGUCACAGGUCAUCCUGUUGCCUGGGAUGAAGUGUCACAUAGUUUGAAUCCACAUUGCUUGCUGACUUCAUGGGGUGAAUGAACUUUUCCAAGAUUCUGGAAGCCUAUUGUAAUUUGUGUUCUCUACAUUUUCCUGAGGUCCCAGGGAUGCCGUGACUACUAAGCUCUAUGGUAGGAGUUGGGGCAGGAGAAUCUGGGAGCACUCAGUUGUGGAACCCAGCCACCAUGUUGUGAAGAAGCCCUGUGCAGUGGUCCAAGUGACCAGGAGUCAAAGCUCCCAGCCAAUAGCCAGCACUAACUUGUCAGCAGUGUCAUGGAGCCCACUUGAAAGAGGAUUCUAAUUAUGCUGCCCAAGCUGUGGCCACAUGGAGGAGAGAUAUACAGUCCCUGCUGAACCCUGCUCUAAUUACAGGGAGACUUGAAAACCAGUGGUGGCGAGACUCCAAGACUAUUAUUUUUAUUUCCGGACAAAAACAUCUGCUUCACACAGUGCACGGCAUCAAAUGAAGAGGAAAGAACUUGUAUCCCAAAGCCUGGCUUUCUGUAUCAUCCACAAAUUAAGACAGCAUCUGCUGAGCCCAUGCUGAGCCUGUCACAGUCAACAACUGGGAAACCGGGGCCUCUACUGAACCAGGGGACAAGUAGCCGAAGCACUUAAACAGCUUGAUACUUGUUUUUUGGUACAUUUGUUUAUUUAAAGCACAGGAAAUGAAUAAAAUGCCACCUAAAAAGUA
rnacentral:lncRNA from 1 species